rnacentral:snRNA from 1 species
CAAGCAGUUGACAAGUUUAACA